rnacentral:rRNA from 1 species
UUACGGGGGGAACGCGAAGAACCUUACCUGGUCUUGACAUAUCUAGAAUCCUGCAGAGAUGCGGGAGUGCCUUCGGGAAUUAGAAUACAGGUGCUGCAUGGCUGUCGUCAGCUCGUGUCGUGAGAUGUUGGGUUAAGUCCCGCAACGAGCGCAACCCUUGUCCUUAGUUACCAGCGGGUUAAGCCGGGAACUCUAAGGAUACUGCCAGUGACAAACUGGAGGAAGGCGGGGACGACGUCAAGUCAUCAUGGCCCUUACGACCAGGGCUACACACGUGCUACAAUGGUAGGUACAGAGGGCAGCUACACAGCGAUGUGAUGCGAAUCUCAAAAAGCCUAUCGUAGUCCAGAUUGGAGUCUGCAACUCGACUCCAUGAAGUAGGAAUCGCUAGUAAUCGCGGAUCAGAUG